rnacentral:rRNA from 1 species
UACGAAGGGAGCUAGCGUUGUUCGGAAUCACUGGGCGUAAAGCGCACGUAGGCGGAUGUGUCAGUCAGGGGUGAAAUCCCGGAGCUCAACUUCGGAACUGCCUCUGAUACAGCACGUCUUGAGUCCGAUAGAGGUGGGUGGAAUUCCUAGUGUAGAGGUGAAAUUCGUAGAUAUUAGGAAGAACACCGGUGGCGAAGGCGGCCCACUGGAUCGGUACUGACGCUGAGGUGCGAAAGCGUGGGUAGCAAACAGG